GAAGUCAGGCCUAGUUGAAUUACCUGGAAAGGUAAGCGAGAGAGGGUAAAAGCCCCGUAGACGAAAGGCAGAGCAGAGAGGCCGAGAUCCAGAGUACCACGAAGCACGAGGAAUUUUGUGGGAAGCAGGGGGGACCACCCUCCAAGGCUAAAAACUACUUGGCGACCGAUAGCGCAUAGUACCGUGAGGGAAAGGUGAAAAGAACCCCGGGAGGGGAGUGAAAUAGUACCUGAAACCGUAUGUCUACAAGCAGUCGAAGCGAAAGCGACGGCGUGCCUAUUGAAGAAUGAACCAACGAGUUAUCUGCACUAGCGAGGUUAAGUGGAAGACACGGAGCCGCAGCGAAAGCGAGUCUUAAGAGGGCGCUAGUUAGUGUAGGUAGACCCGAAACCGCAGUGAUCUACCCAUGUCCAGGUUGAAGCGCAGGUAAAAUUGCGUGGAGGACCGAACCGGUGAGCGUUGAAAAGCUUUCGGAUGAGAUGUGGGUAGGGGUGAAAUUCCAAUCGAACGCGGAGAUAGCUGGUUCUCCCCGAAAUAGCUUUAGGGCUAGCCUGAGGUAGUAAGUAUAGGCGGUAGAGCACUGAUCGGGCUAGGGGCCGUAAAGGUUACCGAACCCUGUCAAACUCCGAAUGGAUAUACUGUAGAGCCUUGGAGUCAGACUACGAGUGAUAAGAUCCGUGGUCAAAAGGGAAACAGCCCAGACCACCAGCUAAGGUCCCCAAUGUCGUACUAAGUGGAAAAGGAUGUGGGGUUUCAUAAACAACCAGGAUGUUGGCUCAGAAGCAGCCACCAUUUAAAGAGUGCGUAAUAGCUCACUGGUCGAGAGACCCUGCGCCGAAGAUUCCCGGGGCUAAAGUACGAAACCGAAGCUGUGGCUGUAUACGUAAAGUAUACGGGGUAGGGGAGCGUUCCCAUAGGGUAGAAGUCGAACUGGAAGGUUCGGUGGACUUGUGGGAAGUGAGAAUGUUGGUAUGAGUAGCGAAAAGAAAGGUGAGAAUCCUUUCCACCGAAAGCAUAAGGAUUCCUGAGCAACGAUCGUCGUCUCAGGGUAAGUCGGGACCUAAUCCGAGGCAGAGAGCGUAGGAGAUGGACAACUGGUUGAUAUUCCAGUACCGGUAGUAAUUGUUUGAGCAAUGGAGUGACACAGAAGGGCAGGCAAGCAUGCGAAUGGAAGAGCAUGUGUAAGCGUGUAGGGUGGUGCAUAGGCAAAUCCGUGCACUGAAAGCCUGAGGCGUGAUGCGGAGUGAGCAGAGAUGCGAGCGAAGUUGUUGACCCCACACUGUCGAGAAAAGCUUCUAGUGAGAGAGCUACCGCCCGUACCGUAAACCGACACAGGUAUGCGGGGAGAGAAUCCUAAGGUGCGCGGGAGAACCCUCGUUAAGGAACUCGGCAAAAUGUACCCGUAACUUCGGGAUAAGGGUAGCCACUGUUGUGAAGUCCCAUGCGGAUGGAGCAUAGAGUGGUCGCAGAGAAGAGGCCCAAGCGACUGUUUACCAUAAACACAGGUGCCUGCUAAAGCGAAAGCUGACGUAUAGGUGCUGACACCUGCCCAGUGCCGGAAGGUUAAGGAAGGAUGUUCGGAUUAGUCCAAAGCAUUCGACUGAAGCCCCGGUGAACGGCGGCCGUAACUAUAACGGUCCUAAGGUAGCGAAAUUCCUUGUCGGGUAAGUUCCGACCCGCACGAAAGGCGUAAUGAUUUGGGCACUGUCUCAACGAGGGACCCGGUGAAAUUGAAAUACCUGUGAAGAUGCAGGUUACCCGCGACUGGACAGAAAGACCCCAUGGAGCUUUACUGUAACCUGACAUUGGGUUUUGAUACAUUACGUACAGGAUAGGUGGGAGGCAUGGAAAGCUGGACGCUAGUCUGGCUGGAGCCGACGUUGGGAUACCACCCUUGAUGUAUUGAAAUUCUAACCGCGAGAGUAACGAAAUCCGGGACAGUGUCAGGCGGGCAGUUUGACUGGGGCGGUCGCCUCCAAAAGAGUAACGGAGGCGCUCAAAGGUCUUCUCAGAAUGAUUGGAAACCAUUCAAAGAGUGUAAAGGCAAAAGAAGGCUUGACUGCGAGAGUGACAACUCGAGCAGGUACGAAAGUAGGACU
rnacentral:rRNA from 1 species